rnacentral:rRNA from 1 species
UGGCUCAGGGAACGGACGCUGGCGGCGUGCCUAAUACAUGCAAGUCGAGCGAACUUGCCUAGAUGAUUUUAGUGCUUGCACUAAAUGAAACUAGAUACAAGCGAGCGGCGGACGGGUGAGUAACACGUGGGUAACCUGCCCAAGAGACUGGGAUAACACCUGGAAACAGAUGCUAAUACCGGAUAACAACACUAGACGCAUGUCUAGAGUUUGAAAGAUGGUUCUGCUAUCACUCUUGGAUGGACCUGCGGUGCAUUAGCUAGUUGGUAAGGUAACGGCUUACCAAGGCAAUGAUGCAUAGCCGAGUUGAGAGAGCUGAUCGGCCACAUUGGGACUGAGA